GAAGCAGCAGCAGCAACGCAAUCACCAUCAACAUCAUAAUUGUUAGCCUCGUCGUCGUCGCUAUCAUCGUUUUUAUCAUUUGCAUCAACAGAAAUGCAUACAUUAAAACUGGAACGCUACAGAGAUUAUCAUGACCUCUUCACAAGGAUGACACGCAGAUUCAUGAGAUUUCCUUUCCUGCAACGGACUUAAAUAUAGAUGACCCGAGAAGACUCGAAACAUAUGAAGUAAGCAUGCGCCUUUGAAUGUGAAAUAAAUUUUUACUCCAAGCGUUCUAACUUGGGCCUUGACAUUACCUUACACGUGCCUUAUCUUUG